GAUGAACGCUAGCGGCAGGCUUAAUACAUGCAAGUCAAGGGGGUAGCAAUACAACCGGCGCACGGGUGAGUAACGCGUACACAACAUGCCAUAUACUGGGGUAUAGCUUUGGGAAACUGAAGGUAAUCCCCCAUAACAUUGCGAGAGGGCAUCUGAUUGCAAUUAAAGUUUCGGCGGUAUAUGAUUGGUGUGCGUUUGAUUAGCUAGUUGGUAGGGUAACGGCCUACCAAGGCGACGAUCAAUAGCUGGCGUGAGAGCGCGACCAGCCACACUGGAACUGAGACACGGUCCAGACUCCUACGGGAGGCAGCAGUAGGGAAUAUUGGACAAUGGAGGAAACUCUGAUCCAGCCAUGCCGCGUGAUAGAUGAAGGCCCUCUGGGUUGUAAAAUAUCUUUUAUCUGGGAAGAAACUCCUCUAUUCUUAGAGGCCUGACGGUACCAGAGGAAUAAGCACCGGCUAAACUCCGUGCCAGCAGCCGCGGU
rnacentral:rRNA from 1 species